UACGUAGGGGGCGAGCGUUGUCCGGAAUCAUUGGGCGUAAAGCGCGCGUAGGCGGCCCGGUAAGUCCGUUGUGAAAGUCAAAGGCUCAACCUUUGAACGCCGAUGGAUACUGCCGGGCUAGAGUCCGGAAGAGGCGAGUGGAAUUCCUGGUGUAGCGGUGGAAUGCGCAGAUAUCAGGAGGAACACCAAUAGCGAAGGCAGCUCGCUGGGACGGUACUGACGCUGAGGCGCGAAAGCGUGGGGAGCGAACAGG
rnacentral:rRNA from 1 species